rnacentral:tRNA from 1 species
GGCGGCAUGGACAAGUGGUAAGGCUCGGGACUGCAAAUCCUUUACCCCCAGUUCAAAUUUGGGUGCCGCCU